rnacentral:rRNA from 1 species
UACGUAGGGGGCAAGCGUUAUCCGGAUUUACUGGGUGUAAAGGGUGCGUAGGCGGGCUGUUAAGUCAGCGGUAAAAGCCCGGGGCUCAACCCCGGCCCGCCGUUGAAACUGGCAGUCUCGAGUUGGAGAGAAGUAUGCGGAAUGCGCGGUGUAGCGGUGAAAUGCAUAGAUAUCACGCAGAACUCCGAUUGCGAAGGCAGCAUACCGGCGCUCAACUGACGCUGAGGCACGAAAGCGUGGGGAUCGAACAGG